GCCAGGCAUGUUGGUGCAUGCCUAUAAUCCCAGCUACUCGGAGGCUAAGGCAGGAGAAUCACUUGAACCCAGGAGGUAGAAGUUGCAGUGAACCGAGAACACACCACUGAGCUCUAGCCUGGGUGAUAGAGUGAGACUCUGUCUUAU
ensembl:misc_RNA Metazoa_SRP Metazoan signal recognition particle RNA